UCGCGGUCUAUCAGCGUGUUGGUGAGGUAACGGCUCACCAACGCCACGUCGGGUAGUAGGUCUGCGAGGAUGACCAGUCUCAUUGGGACUGAGACACGGCCCAGAAUCUUACGGGAGGCAGCAGUGAGGAAUCUUCCACAAUGGGGGCAACCCGGAUGGAGGGACACCGCGUGCGGGAAGAGUUCCUUCGGGUAUUAAACCAUUUUUCUGUGAGAAUAGUAAGAAUGUUUCACAGGAAUAAGUCACGGCCAAUCCAGUACCAGCAGCCGCGGUAAUACGUGAGUGGCUAACGGUAUCCGGAAUUACUGGGCGUAAAGGGUCCGCAGGGGGCACACGUCAGUGCAGUGUUAAAUCUACCGGCUCAACCUGUAGACUGCAUGGCAUACAACUGUCCUAGAGGUAUGUAGAGGUAAGCGGAAUUUUCGGAGUAGGAGUAAUAUCUGUACAUACCGGGAGCAACCCCAAUACCGAAGGCAGCUUACUGGACAUUACCUGACCAUCAGGCAAGAAACCCUCGGUAGCCAACCGGAUUAGAUACCCGGGUAAUCCACGCCCCAAACGAUGGGAUCGUCGGUGCAGCGGACUCGACCCCGAACGUGCCCAAGAGAAGGCGUUAAGUACCCCGCCUGGGGAGUCCGGA
rnacentral:rRNA from 1 species